rnacentral:rRNA from 1 species
CCUACGGGUGGCUGCAGUGAGGAAUAUUGGUCAAUGGGCGGAAGCCUGAACCAGCCAAGUAGCGUGCAGGAUGACGGCCCUACGGGUUGUAAACUGCUUUUAUACGGGAAUAACGCGCCUUACGUGUAGGGCUUUGCAUGUACCGUAUGAAUAAGGACCGGCUAAUUCCGUGCCAGCAGCCGCGGUAAUACGGAAGGUCCGGGCGUUAUCCGGAUUUAUUGGGUUUAAAGGGUGCGUAGGCCGCAUGUCAAGCGUGCGGUUAAAUGUCCGGGCUCAACCCCGGCCUUGCAGCGCGAACUGGCGGUCUUGAGUCGGCGGAAAGCAGGCGGAAUGCGUCGUGUAGCGGUGAAAUGCUUAGAUAUGGCGAAGAACCCCGAUUGCGAAGGCAGCUUGCUGCAGCCGAACUGACGCUGAUGCUCGAAAGCGCGGGUAUCGAACAGGAUUAGAUACCCGUGUAGUC